AGUCGAGGGGCAGCAUUUCAGUUUGCUUGCAAACUGGAGAUGGCGACCGGCGCUCGGGUGAGUAACACGUAUCCAACCUGCCGAUAACUCGGGGAUAGCCUUUCGAAAGAAAGAUUAAUACCCGAUGGNAUAAUCAGACCGCAUGGUCUNAUUAUUAAAGAAUUUCGGUUAUCGAUGGGGAUGCGUUCCAUUAGGCAGUUGGUGAGGUAACGGCUCACCAAACCUUCGAUGGAUAGGGGUUCUGAGAGGAAGGUCCCCCACAUUGGAACUGAGACACGGUCCAAACUCCUACGGGAGGCAGCAGUGAGGAAUAUUGGUCAAUGGGCGCAGGCCUGAACCAGCCAAGUAGCGUGAAGGAUGACUGCCCUAUGGGUUGUAAACUUCUUUUAUAUGGGAAUAAAGUUUUCCACGUGUGGAAUUUUGUAUGUACCAUAUGAAUAAGGAUCGGCUAACUCCGUGCCAGCAGCCGCGGUAAUACGGAGGAUCCGAGCGUUAUCCGGAUUUAUUGGGUUUAAAAGGGAGCGUAGGUGGACAGUUAAGUCAGUUGUGAAAGUUUGCGGCUCAACCGUAAAAUUGCAGUUGAUACUGGCUGUCUUGAGUACAGUAGAGGUGGGCGGAAUUCGUGGUGUAGCGGUGAAAUGCUUAGAUAUCACGAAGAACUCCGAUUGCGAAGGCAGCUCACUGGACUGCAACUGACACUGAUGCUCGAAAGUGUGGGUAUCAAACAGGAUUAGAUACCCUGGUAGUCCACACAGUAAACGAUGAAUACUCGCUGUUUGCGAUAUACAGUAAGCGGCCAAGCGAAAGCAUUNAAGUAUUCCACCUGGGGAGUACGCCGGCAACGGUGAAACUCAAAGGAAUUGACGGGGGCCCCCACAACCGGAGGAACAUGUGGUUUAAUUCGAUGAUACCCGAGGAACCUUACCCGGGCUUAAAUUGCAUUUGAAUANUUUGGAAACAGNUUAGCCGNAAGGCAAAUGUGAAGGUGCUGCAUGGUUGUCGUCAGCUCGUGCCGUGAGGUGUCGGCUUAAGUGCCAUAACGAGCGCAACCCUUAUCUUUAGUUACUAACAGGUCAUGCUGAGGACUCUAGAGAGACUGCCGUCGUAAGAUGUGAGGAAGGUGGGGAUGACGUCAAAUCAGCACGGCCCUUACGUCCGGGGCUACACACGUGUUACAAUGGGGGGUACAGAAGGCAGCUACCUGGUGACAGGAUGCUAAUCCCAAAAGCCUCUCUCAGUUCGGAUCGAAGUCUGCAACCCGACUUCGUGAAGCUGGAUUCGCUAGUAAUCGCGCAUCAGCCAUGGCGCGGUGAAUACGUUCCCGGGCCUUGUACACACCGCCCGUCAAGCCAUGAAAGCCGGGGGUACCUGAAGUACGUAACCGCAAGGAGCUCCUAGG
rnacentral:rRNA from 1 species